AAAUUCAGGGUUACGAUAAAAACGUUAUUUUAUUGUUAAAAACAUUUUUUUCUAAACCAGAAAUGUGCUUUCACUGCAGUAAUUCGCUCAAAGUCAUUGAUUGUAAUACCAGUCAUGACUGGCUAGGAACAGUGUAUUAUGGCACAUGGGAAAAUAAAUAAAAUUGCAGUUUAUUUUUUACAUUUUUAACCCAAUAAAAUGCAAGUUCUUGAGCAUUAACCUGCAUAUAAAUUUGCAAGAAAAUAAGACCUUGACAAAAAAAUCUUAACGUAAAUGUCUAUGGGAAUGUUUUAAACAUGCCAACCCUGAUUGUUCUUGUAUAAAUGACAAGUCUUUGGAAAGAACUGCACAAAAGCUUGAUAUACAACUACAUGUAAUUUGUUCUUUGCUUUGGGUAUGAAAAUACAUGUAUAA